CAGCCGCCGCGGUAAUACGAAGGGUGCAAGCGUUAAUCGGAAUUACUGGGCGUAAAGCGUGCGUAGGUGGUGGUUUAAGUCCGUUGUGAAAGCCCUGGGCUCAACCUGGGAAUUGCAGUGGAUACUGGGUCACUAGAGUGUGGUAGAGGAUAGUGGAAUUUCCGGUGUAGCAGUGAAAUGCGUAGAGAUCGGAAGGAACAUCUGUGGCGAAGGCGACUAUCUGGGCCAACACUGACACUGAGGCACGAAAGCGUGGGGAGCAAACAGGAUUAGAUACCCCUGUAGUCCCUGUCUCUUAUAA
rnacentral:rRNA from 1 species